UCUAAAACAGGCUUCAUCCCGAACGCCAGCAUCAAUCCUAUCUUCUUCUCCCCUUGCUCCACCGCUCAGAGCACACUGCUCUGUCUCCGCCACGCAAUACAGAGAGGAGUGGCCUUCGCCGGCGACGAGGCUCCUCCCUGACCAGAUCCCGCCACAGUCGCGGCGGCAGGGGUCGAGGACGACGACCACGAGGGAUCCGCGGAGGGGGCCAGGGAUUUGGCGUUCGCUACAGCCGAGCACCAGGUACUGCCACGCUACGACUCAGCUCCUCGCCGACCGGAGCGAGGUGCCGUCGCGGUCCGAUGCCGAGCGCCGCCGCGAGCACCAGGCCGCCGCGCUCGGGGCGACGCUGCCCGCACCAUCCCUGCGAUGCGCCCACCUCCAACCCGGCGGCGAUGGCGAUGUCCGCGAGGCCCUGGGCGCGAGGGAGGCGAUGGCGAUCAGCUGAAGCGGCGGCGCCGUCAUCCUACACCGGGAGGCGGGGCCUGGUGGUGCACGAGGCUGCGGGACGCGGAAGGGGGAGAAGCAAUGGAGGUACUGUUCGAGGAGGCGGGGCGCGGAGGGAGAGAGCAGUGGAGGUGCUGACGCUGACGCCGCGGCGCUUCAUGGAGGUCAACUAGGAGGUGGACGAGGCCUUGCAGCUCGCAGCCGACCUGCUCGCCGAUGCGCCAAUAGGGAUCUGCUCGCCGGCGGGGACGCCGUUUUCUUCUAGUGAUGUGCGGAUGGUGAACUGCUCGCCGGGAUUCACCCCGAGCCCAGGGAGUGGGAGUAUUCGGGGAUAGGAUAUGUGCAUCGAGCAGAGGGGGCCGGUGUUCACUUCAGGUUUCUUGCCUCAGUCAGAUCAAUUCUGGAGUCCUUGAUCUCCCCGUCCUUCAUCAACAGCUUUACGUGGGAAGUAAAGAAAGGCUCUGUUCUCUUAACAAGGAUGGAAAGUAUAACGGCAUACAAAAACCAACAUGGACAACCCAAAUCUGGAACUCCAGAACAAUCUGACAUUCCAGUGGCUGCUAAUGACAAGCGUUCCCUUGCUGAAUGGCCAUCCUAUGCUCGCCGCAACCGUGCGUGACUACAGGAUGAAGCUGGUGGACAGAAGAAGAAAGGGCGAGGUGUUCUAAAAGGUUUUAAAGCAUCUAAGAAGCGUUUUGCCAAUGGAUCUGCAAAGCUAAAUAUUACAUUCUCUGAAAAAUUGGGUGGUACAGUAGGAAUGAACUAUCGUUCGUUCAAGGAUGACGUGGUAGUCAUAAUGAAAAGAAAGUUACCACUCAUUGGAUUGAGGACGUGGUCGGACAUUCACCCUACCAUUCAUCGACUCAUUGUUGCAGAUAUGAUUGUAGGACAGAUGGGACCUGGAAGAUACACCAGAAACAGAAGAAAAAGUUCUCAAAAUUGCGAAAGAGAGAUAUAGAGGCUGGCGAUCAACUCUAAGCUCCACUUACAAGGCAUACAAAACAGAUGCAUUGGCUAAUCUGCCUGAAGAUUUACAACCAGAAGAGUGGGAAUGGAUGAUUGAGUACUUUGGCACUGAUUCAAAAUUUCAGGAAUGCAGCCAAAAGAACGCUGAUAACCGUAAGAAACAGAAGACAAAACAUAUAAUCGGAUCAAAAUCUUACUCGCAAGUUAGUUUUGAGAAGAGAAACUUAGAAACUGGAGAAGAGCCAGAUUGUAUUGCUCUAUGGGAACUCACCCACACAAACAAUGGAACAUGGUCUAACACAGAUUCCCAGAAAGUUUACGACCAAGCACUUGAAGAGGUUAAAAACAAAGAAGCUGAAACUGAAGGUCCACUUUCAAGUGAGCAGAAAAACAAUGUUUUCCAGACCGCUUACAAAGACACUCUGGAAUGCAAGUCAUCGCAGCCUCGUGGGUACGGAUACAUGGCCAAAACUUCAACUGGUUCUGAAAAGUUCCGUAUCCAGAUUGAAGAGCAAGCUCGUGCUACAGCAGCCACCCAGGAGUGAAACUCUCAGCUCAGCCAGCAGGUUAAUGACUUAGAAGAUCAACUACAAGCUGAACGUGCUAACACACAAGAGAGGAUUAACUUGGAGCGUGCUGAGAGAGAACAACUUGAGGAGAGGUUAAAACAAGAGCGUGCUGAAAGGGAAAGAUUGUUGCAAGAGGAGCGAACAUCAAGACUGGAAUUUGAAAAAAAACAUGAUGGCAAAGUUUAUAGAAUUGAGCAAACAGAUGGAAACCCAACAGGUUCCUACGAAGAGGGUUGACAAAGAAAAUAGUAAUCCAAACUUGCAAAAUAUUCUUUCACAGACAUCUAGUCCUAAUAAGACUCCAGGUUCAAGGCCGACUGCUAUUUCUUCAAAUGCGCUCAUACAAGCUGCAGCAAGGCAAUCUCGAAUGUAUAAAGCAAUGGAUCCAAAGAACUAGCUGGACUGGACUCUAGAUCACGGGCAGUUUAGUCUUCGAAGUUAAUUAGGAUGGCUAAAUUACAUUUGAGUUUUAUUUGAUGGAUAUUUUCUAUCAGAAGUAUGAAUUGUAUGAAUCUAGAUAUUAUAUGUAUGGUUUUGAAUAUUUUAAUUGAAACCCUGUAAAAAAAAUUUACGAUUGCAAUAGACUAUUACCACAACCCA